UACGGAGGGUGCGAGCGUUGUCCGGAAUCAUUGGGCGUAAAGGGCGCGUAGGUGGCCCGGUCAGCGUGCGGUGAAAGCUCGGGGCUCAACCCCGAGUCGGCCGUGCGAACUGCUGGGCUCGAGCACUGUAGAGGCAGGCGGAAUUCCGGGUGUAGCGGUGGAACGCGUAGAGAUCCGGAAGAACACCGGUGGCGAAGGCGGCCUGCUGGGCAGUGGCUGACACUGAGGCGCGACAGCGUGGGGAGCAAACAGG
rnacentral:rRNA from 1 species